UACGUAGGGUGCAAGCGUUGUCCGGAAUUAUUGGGCGUAAAGAGCUCGUAGGCGGUUUGUCGCGUCUGCUGUGAAAACUCAGGGCUUAACCCUGAGCCUGCAGUGGGUACGGGCAGACUAGAGUGUGGUAGGGGAGAUCGGAAUUCCUGGUGUAGCGGUGGAAUGCGCAGGAUAUCAGGAGGAACACCGGUGGCGAAGGCGGAUCUCUGGGCCAUAACUGACGCUGAGGAGCGAAAGCAUGGGGAGCGAACAGG
rnacentral:rRNA from 1 species